rnacentral:lncRNA from 1 species
CAGAGAUUUAUACUUGUAAUUUCCCAGAACAUUUGAAUUAGAGAUGUGAGCCCCGAUGCCAACUGUCUACAGGUUGAAGUUAUAAAGAGGCUUAGGCACAUCAUGUUGAAGGGAGCAAUUUGGGAAGGAUAAAGCUGUUGAUGAAUGGCCAAAAAAGGACAAGUUAAGGGGAAAAAUUGGAACCAAAGAGCCCAGAUUGUGAGUUCCUUGAAAGAAGAAUCUGUGUCUUGUGCACCAUUGUUCUUCCUUACCUGUAACAGAAACCCUGGCACCAGGUAGGCAAGUCUUUGAUAAAUAUUUCUGGAUUGAUUAAGUUGUAUUUAUUCAUUAAAUGUAUGCCAAUUUCCUUUGUUUUUGCUACUAUCCUAGCAUUGCAUGUUACUUCCAUGAAGCUGAUCUAUGAAAGCAAAAUAUUAACAUCUUAUGGCAGGUAAUUUUUGCCUUGAUAGCCUGUGAUGAGUUACUGACUGCUUGUUAGAAAUGUCACUGCCUUGUUCCUGUUAGGCUUACAGCUGACAUGUUGAAAAAUUUAUUCAAUGUAUAAAAAAGCUCUACAAAGAUAUUCAUUGUAUCACUGUUUAUAAUUGGGAAUUGUUUGGAUAGUCGAAUGAGCUGUGUUACAUCCAAACUAUGAAACAUUAUGCAACAAUUACGAAGAAGAAGGUAGAUCUAUGUCUUAUAAAAUAAAUUGAUAUUCUACUUAAAAAAAAGCAAAUGGCUAAAAGAUACUUUCAGUACAAUACCAUAUUUAAAAACUGCAGUGUACUUUCUGUGGUUACCAUAGAGGUAUAGUUAUAACAGAGGCAUAUGGACAUAUGGAAAAUAACCAUAGAACUCAUAUUAAACUCACUUAUGUGAUCAGUGGCUACAUCUAGAAAGGUAGAGAGGGGACCAAGAAUAAGGCUUGGAGGUCAAAAGCGACUUCUUUGAAAUGUUUUUUUUUUUAUGGAUAAUGUUUUAGUUUUUUAAUAAAGAGUUCUUAGUUAUAAAAUUAAUCUUAAACAUGUUGAUACUUGAUACAUUUGAAAGAUAAAAAUAUAUAACCUAUGAACAAUUAUGUAAAAAUAUACCGUCCAUGUAUCAAUUUAUAUAAAGGUAGAAUGCUAAAAAUGAAAAUUUGGCCUAUAGUAAACAUCUCUAAAUCAAAACAUUUUCUUUCAUAAUAAAUAAAAGAGAAGGAAUUAGCUAUAUUCUAUUAGCUCAUAAUUGUGUGGAUAGUAGGAUGAAAUAAAAAUGACUACAUAAGUCAGAAACAUAAAAACAGCCAUUGAUUUAGAAUCUGUUGACAUGAAGGCCACCCCGGCUCCACCACAUCUUGAACUAGAUGAGUCAUAAACUCCAGAGUAUCCAUUAUGCUAACCUAUAAAGUCAAGGUGGAAACUAGAGUAGUGAUUCUCAAACCUACAAGUCAUGAUUCUCUUGGGGGAACACACACAAAAAUAUUAUAUUGAAGAAUAUGCUGUUAUAUGCUGCUUCAUAAUAAAUUACUGUGCAGAUAAAUGGUAAUAUGCAGCACAUUUGUUUGUUUCAUUUUGUGUUUUAAAGCUUUCUCUUCCAGCAGACUGAUGUGAAUGGAGGCAGAGAACUUGUUUUAGUCAAUGUAGUAUCCCUUGCACUUUUCAUACUAUGUAGCACAUUAUAGAUACUCAAUAACUUGUUUUUAAUGAAUAAAUGGCAAAAUAUCAUAGGAGAAAAUUUUUAAGAUGAUUCUGUUUAUUAAACUAUCUCCCAGUACAUGUAGAUAAUCCCACCAUUAUUUUAUUAUAGAAAAUCUACAGUCGUUCCAACUUCUAAAAUGCAAUUAAGAACUCCAGUUAUGAUAAUCUUUAAGGAUCAUUCUUCUCUAAGAUAAUAUGUCUCUACAGCUUUUACUGCCUUUGAAAAUCCUCUCUGUCACAUCUCCUGAAGAAAACAGUUUCUUGUCCAGAUGAAUUACAGUGAAAAAGGAAAAGCAUUUAUCUGAACAUUAAAAUCCCUUUCCAUUACAACCCUGAAUUCUUUAGAAUAAUUCUUGUUCAUUUGGGUAAUUUCCGAUUACCUUAAACCAGUAUACUUGUUAUUCUCAUAAAGCGGAUGUACAAUUCUACCUGGUGUAACAUGAACUCCGGAACCAGGUUGCUUGGGUUUGAAUCCUAAGUCUACCAGGUAUAAGCUCUAUAACCUUGAACAAGCCACUUAAUAUUUCCAUGUCUCAGGUUCCUGAUCUCCAAAUAAGUAAAAUAAAAAUAAUUAUAUCAAACCCUUAAUUUAAAGUUUAACUCAGUUAGUACAUGUGAAAUGCUAAGAACAUGGUUUGGCCGGUAGUAGCUGAGAAAAUGGACCUGUAGUAACUGCUAUGCAAAUAUUCUUUGAAAUAAAAACAAAACGAAAUAAAUAUGCUAAUCUUUUUACCAGAUUGCAUGACUAUUCAGUCUUAACAAAGUUGGCUAAGAUUAGGCCAACAUCAUCCAGAAAAAUGUCCUCAGUUAUAAACAGUAGGGAAAUCUUAGAAAGAAUGAUUGAAGCACACAAAGUAAACAACACAGGAAAAUUAGCGAUAUAUGUGUCUGCAGAAAAAUGAGAACCAAGGGUUCCUGAGGUAGAUGGUUAGGCAUUUCAUGUGUGUAAAAGAUUCCAAUUAUAAAUCUGGAAGACAAGGCACUGGUAGAGUACCUGACCCUAAUAAAUAAAUACUCAUUAAAAUUUUGCUUAAUUUAGUAUAAAUAAAUUUAAUUAAUUAUUCAGUUAACUGGUAAAUGAAAUAGUUGUUUGACUAUAAGCCAAGUCACUUGACAUGUCUAGGUUCUGUUUCCUCAACUGUUAAAUAAGGAAAAUUAUCUAGAUCAGCAUUUCCUUAAUUGUGUUCAACUCAAGACUGGGUUCUUAGAGUUGUUAAUCAGCUCUUGGAAACAAAUCCAUGGUUGAAUAAUUUUAGGAAAACCCAUAUGCUAUCUUUCUCUUGCAUUUACAAACAAACUGGUAUAGUAGACAUUUUAAGAUCUUUUAUUGUAAGGAAAUUUUAUUUAUCUGACAAUUUCCCAAACUUAAUUGACCAUUGACUCUUUUCCUCUGGUUUCUAGCCUAUUGGUAUUUCACAGAAUUACUGCUAUUCUGAACAAAAAUUGGAAAUAAUACUACUCAAUGUUUGGUGUGUGGCUCAGUGUCAGUCUGCAAAUUAUUUACCAGUCUAUAACAGAAUAAGUACAAAAACUAAGAGCAGGCAUUUAAAAACUUUUAUAGCAAUUUGACACAGUAAUUUUAUGUUUAUUGAAUCUAAUAAUGAAAAUCAGGGAUUGUAUUUUGUAGGUUUUCCCUUCAUUGCUUUUUUCCUUAUAAAU